rnacentral:misc_RNA from 1 species
CAGAGUUGCAAAACUCCCAACCCAUGACUAUAUACCUAUUUUGGUCUUUCGGCAGGCGGCCCCGGGGAGGGGCCUCAGCCUACGGCGCCUGCCAGAGGGACUACUCCAUACUCUUUUACGUAUCUAUGAGUCUAAAAAAAUAUCA